rnacentral:ncRNA from 1 species
GCCGAUUUGGUCCUAGUCCCCAUUUUAACUACUUUCGAGGUGCCACAUGCAAGCUAAUUAGCAGACCAGUGAAGUAACCCUUUUUUUCUUUCUGACUACAAAGAACUAAGAAAAGAAAUUCUAGUAUCAGGCUCUAAAAAUAAGCCCACUACACUAGGCAAUACGCCACAACUGCAGUGCUAAACAUUAGACAAUUGGAUGACUCCAGAUCUAGCAAAGGAAGUGUAAGGGGGUAAAAUACGUGCCAGCCACCGCGGUUAUACGUACUCCCUAUAGUUAAAUAAUAACGGUGAAAAGGGUGGUUAAGAAAAGUAAAAACUUGGUUAUAGCUUUGAGCUAGUGGUAAAAAACUAAUCUCAGAAGAAGUCACAACGCCAACCUGCACUAUUUGAAGCCACGAAAACUAAGAUCUAAACCAGGAUUAGAUACCCUGCUAUACUUAGAUGUAAACAACCUAUAAACACCAGAGAACUACGAACCUAAAGUUUAAAACUCAAAGGACUUGGCGGUUUUCCAUACCUCCCUGGAGGAGCUUGCCAUUGAAUCGAUAAUCCACGAAAUACCUCACCAACUUUUGUAAUAUCAGCUUGUAUACCAUCGUCGAAAGUCUACUUCCCGAGAAAGUUGACUAUAAGGAGGAGCCCCCAGACGUCAGAUCAAGGUGCAGCUUAUAAGUUGGGGAUAGGUGAGCUACAAUGUUUGAAUAAACCAGUGAAAAUAGAAGUGAAAAAUUCUUUAGAAAUUGGAUUCAGCAGUAAGCCUCACAAAGAAAAUGGGGCUGAAAAGAGCUCUGGAAUGCGUACACAUCGCCCGUCACUCUCGCCUAGCCAAAAAAGCAAGGGGAGAAAAGUCGUAACAAAAUAGGCACACCGGAAGGUGUGCCUGGCCAAU